rnacentral:snoRNA from 1 species
GCAAGAUGCAGCUGUGAUGAGACGUAACACAUAAGAAGGCCAAACCGAUCAAUUGGUUCUUCGAUGAAAUAUAUUUGUUACGCUUGGCUUCUGAGCUGAAUCUGC